rnacentral:rRNA from 1 species
AGGCUUAACACAUGCAAGUCGAGCGGGCGAGGUUGCUUCGGUAACUGAGCUAGCGGCGGACGGGUGAGUAAUGCUUAGGAAUCUGCCUAUUAGUGGGGGACAACAUUCCGAAAGGAAUGCUAAUACCGCAUACGCCCUACGGGGGAAAGCAGGGGAUCUUCGGACCUUGCGCUAAUAGAUGAGCCUAAGUCAGAUUAGCUAGUUGGUGGGGUAAAGGCCUACCAAGGCGACGAUCUGUAGCGGGUCUGAGAGGAUGAUCCGCCACACUGGGACUGAGACACGGCCCAGACUCCUACGGGAGGCAGCAGUGGGGAAUAUUGGACAAUGGGCGGAAGCCUGAUCCAGCCAUGCCGCGUGUGUGAAGAAGGCCUUUUGGUUGUAAAGCACUUUAAGCGAGUAGGAGGCUACUUGGAUUAAUACUCUAGGAUAGUGGACGUUACUCGCAGAAUAAGCACCGGCUAACUCUGUGCCAGCAGCCGCGGUAAUACAGAGGGUGCGAGCGUUAAUCGGAUUUACUGGGCGUAAAGCGUGCGUAGGCGGCUUCUUAAGUCGGAUGUGAAAUCCCUGAGCUUAACUUAGGAAUUGCAUUCGAUACUGGGGAGCUAGAGUAUGGGAGAGGAUGGUAGAAUUCCAGGUGUAGCGGUGAAAUGCGUAGAGAUCUGGAGGAAUACCGAUGGCGAAGGCAGCCAUCUGGCCUAAUACUGACGCUAGUACGAAGC